rnacentral:tRNA from 1 species
AGACUUAUAACUUAAUGGUAGAGCAUGUGGCCCAUGACUGUUUAAUCGGUGUGGGUUCAAGUCCCUCUAAGUCUA